GACGAGGGGUCCAAGCGUUGUUCGGAAUCAUUGGGCGUAAAGCGGGUGUAGGCGGCUCUAUAAGUCAGGAGUGAAAUCCCCGAGCUUAACUCGGGAAGUGCUUUUGAUACUGCAGAGCUUGGAUGGUGGGAGAGGAUAGUAGAAUUCCAGGUGUAGUGGUGAAAUACGUAGAUAUCUGGAGGAAUACCGGUGGCGAAGGCGGCUAUCUGGCCCAACAUUGACGCUGAGACCCGAAAGCGU
rnacentral:rRNA from 1 species